AGCACCCCCUUGGUUCAAUUUUCUGUCAAAUAUAUACACAAUAUGUAAUAGCAUAAUUCUCAAAAGAGACCUAUGAGAUAUAUACUAUUAUUGACUCCAUUUUACAGAGGAAAAAUCCAAAUCUGUGAGGUUAAAUACUGUUUCUGUCAUCUGUUGCUGCAUAACAAAUCAUCCCAAAACUUAACGAAUUGAACAACCAGCAUUUUGUUAUAUCUCACAGUUCUAUACGUUGACUAGGCUCUGUGGGGCAGUUCUUCUGGUCCACUUGAUGCUGUCUGGGGCUGCAUUUAUCUGGAGGCUCAUCUGGACUGGAGUAUCCAAAAUGGUUCAUUCACAUGCCUGGCAACUGGUGCUAGCUAUCGAUGGGACACAGCUGGGGUUAUCUGAAGAGUGCAUCCAUGUUCCUUCAUAUUCCCUUGGCAGGAUGACAGCCCAGUUCCAAGAAGGAGCAUUCCAAGAAGAAAGAAAUGGGAUCUUCCUGUUCUUUUAAGGCCUGACUCAGAAGUCUCAGAACAUCACUUCUGCCAGUCUAGUGGUCAAAGCAGUCACAAGUUAACCAAGAUUUAAGAGAAGGGGAAAGAUGUGCCACCUUCCGGCAGAGGAAUAGCGUGCGUGUACAGGAAGCAAGAGAGUUGAUGUCAGGCCUCAUUGGAGACUGUAUCACAAAUACUUUGCUGCUUCCUGGUCAUGAGAUGAGCAGUUUUUCUCUACCACACAGACCGGCUAUGAUGUGCUGCUUUGCCACAGGCCCAAAACAAUGGGGCUGAGGGAUCAUGAACUGGAAUCUCCAAAACUCUGAAUGGAGAGGAUCCUGAAUGUGGAUCUACAAGAUGGAAGAAGCCUGGGCCCCGAGUUGCUAACGAGGGAAUCAAUGGCUGGCCAGGAACACCUGCAGGAGUCAGAAAUGAACUUUUAUUGUGUGAAUCUCUGAAAAUUUGAAGCUGUUAGCUUAUCUUGACUAAUCCAAAUGCUAGGUUUAAUGUAACUUUCCUAGGUUGAUUAUGAUAUCCACUUUUCAAGAGUUCCCCGUAAUUAAAAAAAAAAGACUUCAAAACUAUAUUUAUUACUUCAUUUAAGUAUGUGCUCUCUUGAUUUUAUGAUCAGAAAUAAUAGCCUCGUCCAAUCUCUUACUUUUGCAAAUGGUAAUGCCAAAAAAAAAAAAUUAAAAACUCUUAGAGUAUGGGAGGUCUCAGAAAGUCUCUCGAGUAUGUUUGAGCUCUCCACAGCAAGUUUUCAAGAACUUGUCAUAAGAUGGGGACAUUGAUGUUCAGGCCUGCUGAAUGUUGGAAUAGAAAUAGGGGAACAAAGCUUUGGUUUCCAUGAUA